CACAGCAUUGCACAUGCGCAAGAUGAUCAUGGCAUUCGGGACAGUUUGUUGUUUCGGUUGUGAGGUUUGUUUCGAGGCAGUUGCCGAGUAAGAGAAGAGAUUGGCUGAUGAGAAGUCUCUGACGAAACCUUUUGGAGGAAUGUUACCAAAUUGCUAAAUCAAGAUGCACACUGGUUGUCAUUGAAGGUAUGACUGUGAAGAGAUAAAGAAGUAAUUAUUUAUACAAAGACUUUGGUUCUAUAUCCAUGCAUAUGCAGUCUACUUACUACUAAUGAAGAAUGAGAGAGACUUGAAGCCAUUCUGCUGCUGCUGCUGUCUUUACACGGGUAAGGAGUGAGUUUGAAGGUAGCGGUGUAUACAAGAUUUAGUUGCUUUAUGUGUUCUUGUUUUUGCUGGCUUUUGGCUUUUCAUUGUUCUUACUUUUUAGAGAGUCAAGUGUGUUG